CUCACACCCAACAUACUUACACAUAUAGACAAGAACACUUAUCUGGGGCUAAAGAAAAGUGAAAAGUUGAUCCAAAUUAAGAUUUCUUCUUUUUAGAGAUAAGAGAAAAAAUUGAGUCCUAAUAGCAUCAACAGAGGAAUGAAUUGGGAAAAAAUCCAAAAAAUAAGUGAGAUAAUUUCUAGAAAGUGGCCUAAAAGAUGGAGGCUAUGUUUUUUUUUGUAGACUAGAUAACCAACAAUUUUUUAUUUUUUUUAAGGUGCAGGUGAUUUGUAUAUGAAUAUGAUACUUUUUAAUAUCCAGCAUUCUGCCAAUAGUGGAAAGUUGGCCAAUGACCAAAGAGCCAGAAUGAUCUCAGGAGGGCUGACACAAAUGGAAGAAUCCAGAAAUCAUCAUUUAUAUAUAUUUUAUUUAUUUAUUUAUAAAGCAUAAAACAUCAGUCAGUGGAGUUUAACAGCUGCCCAUAUCAGAAUUAGGAGAAUGGACAAUUGGCUAGUCAUCUAGUUCAAAGACCAGACAAAGCUUCAUGAUAUAUACUUCAAAAUGAUAUCUAGUGGACUAUAUGCAGAUAUGUAUCUAUGACACGAUUUGACUGCAAUAUAUCCAAAUGAAUGUUGUAUUUUAAUCAAAUGGGCAUAAAACUUUUCUUUCAAACGAGUUCUUUAAAAAAAAUGCUGAAAAUUUCCAGGUAGAUAUUUCUCCAGUUGAACAGUUUUAUAGUGUAAUAUCUUCUAUGCCCCAAUUUUUCUCACUAGGUUGAGUUAACACUAUGUAAAUGAUUUAGGGUGACAAAUGGCAAAAUGUAUAAUUUCUGCAUAUGAUACAUAUUUGCUAUUGGUAUUGAAAUAAAACAAUGGAAGAUAGCAGGAACAUCUUCAAUAAUAUUUGACUCAUCUCAAAACCAACCUAACCACUGUUAGACUAACUUUAUGAAAUAUCUUCAGUCAUUUGAUUGUGUAACUGAACUCUUCUGCCAGCUAAGUCUUUCCAUUGAAUGGAAAUAAUAGUUACCAAGUUACCAUAGGAACCCAGAGGGUUAUAGUGAUUUCUAUUUGGCAUGUAGUUCAUUACUGAGGGUAAGAUACUGUUGUCAGCCUCUCUCCUCACUACUCUUUCUGCUCUAGGACGUGAACACUAAAUGCUGUUAACCAUCUUAUUUUGCUGUUUGUUGGACAGGGAACUGACACUGUCACUCAACCACCAGUGAAGCAAGGAAAAAUAAGAAAGAGGAACCUUCAGAAGAAGAGCUAGCUUGCCAUCUGAUACUUUCUUUGUCUGGAGGUUUGUUUUUAGAGAAGAUGGUAAAUAAAUCUUUCUUAUUGGUUGGUUUGAAUGAAACCAUUGACUUCUCUUUUAUCCAAGUGUAUUUGUCAGAAUUGAUCCAGAGGGAGAGAAAGGCUCUUGAAAUAUGAGAUCUAAACUAUGUAGUUCUUAAGAUGAUUAUUAUGUAUAAGUGUGAUUAUUUGUGUUUAAGGGGUAUACAGGGCCAGCAACAGGGAUGGAAACAGGAAUAUAAUGGAUUAGCAUCUCAAAGAACACUUAAUGUCACUUUACUUAUUAUUCCUCACCCUCUUUAUUUCCCACAGGAAAAAUGAAAAUUAUGGCAUUCACACCAGUUCUGAUGAGAACUAAGGUCAAGACAAAUAUGUAUUUUCUCAGACCUUUGAAAUACUACACAUGAGCUGACAACUUUCUCUCAAGAAAAAUUCCUUCUUAGAAGGCAAAAAUUCAAUGGCAAUGCAUUCUCAUUUUUUAAAAUGGUGAGCUAUAAAAACCAAGGUUUUCUACCAGCCUUUUCAACCAUGUUGGAAGGCUUCCUGGUGUAUUCCUCCCGAGCAAGGAAGGCCAAUCGUACCUAUGUGGUCUCCAGAUGCCAGAAUACUCCGUCUGACCUGGCGACAUCUAUUCUUGCAUUCGUUGGAAUGGCAUUUUCUGGGUCAUCAAAAGUACCCCUUCAAAAUUGCUAAAAUGUCAGCUCUUUUGUUGGGGCUUCUCCAGGGCGACUUUGCUUCCCUAGCCACCUUGUUGGGAAACAGCUGGGAGAUGUUGGCUUUAUCCAAAUGUGUCAAAUUGAAUAUUGAAUCAGCAAGGUCUGUAAAUGUUUAUUAUUGAAUUCCAACAGAUCUCAUAGGAUUUGAUUCUGUAUCCAGGGUAUGAACAACUCACCCUCUUUCCUUAGAUUAGACACAUAGAAUUUUGUGUCACUGCUUAAAAUGAACCAGGAGACUACUGUACACACAAGAUAAAGUAGUGGCCCCAAAAGGAUUUUUUUUCCUCCUGAUGAAGUGUACUACGUAUUCUGGAAUUGCUGCAUCUUUUUCCCUCUCAUGGUAAGGGGAAUGUCCAGCAGCAUCAUAAAACUCCUGCAUAACAACAACAACAAAAGCAUAUUUCUGGUGCAAGAUUGGUUUGACAUUUUCUUUGUUCAUUUGCUCUGCUCUGAAAAUAUAUUCAAUGUGGCAGAACUUCCUUAUUCUUAUCAAAAUUGUGAAGGGAGUCAGUAAAACAUUCCUUGACAAAACAAAUUAUAGUAAAUAUGCACAAAACCAGGCACUUAAUUGUACUGUUGUCUUCUAUGACAUUUUUUUCAGAAGCUAAUAUAGUUCUUAUUAAAAUGUCUCCUAAGAGAGCCUGGUGUUCACUAUGUUUCUAAGGUCAUGUUUUUUGUUCAGUUGCUGUAAUUUCCACAAAUAAUACUGGAAAACAUGAAGAAGAUGAAUCAGAGGAUAAGGAUGUGCUCUCUCUCUUAAGACAGGCUAAUAUAGAUCUUUUUUCAAGAAUUACUAAAACAGAAGUCCAUCUUACUUUGCACAAAAGCAGAUUUUUGCUUUUCGUCUGCUGUAUCAGGGAAGCAGAGGUCUUCAUAAGUAACUUUUAGUAAGUUUUUUUUGUGAAUGAUAAAACCUCUUUUCUCCUUCUUUCUCCAUCUUAGUGACAAACAUUUUGACACCACUCUAAAAAUUAUGGAAAAUAAGCAGAAAGGAAAAACAGACACUGUGUGACACUGUCAAAAAUCCCUGGGCAUUUCAAAAUGUUAGCUCUGCAUGAAGGAAUAUGUAUUUAUCUAAUUUCACACUUGGAUAGUGAAUCAUUAAUCCAGAAUGAAAAUGGACAUUUUGCUUCUCAGGAUUCCCCCUUUCUUUUAAAGUAGCCAAUCACACAGCUUAAUUUUUCAUCACUUAAAUAAAG
rnacentral:lncRNA from 10 species